rnacentral:rRNA from 1 species
UACAGAGGGGGCAAGCGUUGUUCGGAAUUACUGGGCGUAAAGGGCGCGUAGGCGGCCUGCUAAGUCGAACGUGAAAUCCCCGGGCUCAACCCGGGAACUGCGUCCGAUACUGGCAGGCUUGAAUCCGGGAGAGGGAUGUGGAAUUCCAGGUGUAGCGGUGAAAUGCGUAGAUAUCUGGAAGAACACCAGUGGCGAAGGCGGCCCGCUGGGCAGUGGCUGACGCUGAGGCGCGACAGCGUGGGGGAGCAAACAGG